AGUGAACGCUGGCGGUAGGCCUAACACAUGCAAGUCGAACGGCCGCACAGUAAGCGCUCGCUCUUACGGGUGGCGAGUGGCGGACGGGUGAGGAAUACAUCGGAAUCUACUUUUUCGUGGGGGAUAACGGAGGGACACUUACGCUAAUACCGCAUACGACCUACGGGUGAGAGCAGGGGAUCUUCGCACCUUGCGCGAUUGUAUGAGCCGAUGUCGGAUUAGCUAGUUGGCGGGGUAAAGGCCCACCAAGGCGACGAUCCGUAGCUGGUCUGAGAGGAUGAUCAGCCACACUGGAACUGAGACACGGUCCAGACUCCUACGGGAGGCAGCAGUGGGGAAUAUUGGACAAUGGGCGCAAGCCUGAUCCAGCCAUACCGCGUGGGUGAAGAAGGCCUUCGGAUUGUAAAGCCCUGUUGUUGGGAAAGAAAAGCAGCAGGUUAAUACCCCGCUGUUCUGACGGUACCCAAAGAAUAAGCACCGGCUAACUUCGUG
rnacentral:rRNA from 1 species